rnacentral:tRNA from 1 species
GAGGGUAUAGCUCAGUGGUAGAGGGCAUGCUUAGCAGGUUUGAGGUCCUGGGUUCAAUCCCCAGCACCUCCA